rfam:Brachypodium distachyon strain Bd21 chromosome 3, whole genome shotgun sequence.
CAGGGUACCCUUUGACCCUGCUUAGUUCAAACAAAUGAACUAGUUUUCCAAAAGGUUGUAUCAUUUUAAAAUUUUAGUUCAUUUGGUUGAACUUAAGGAGGGUCAAAGGGUACCCUG